GUUAGACACAGGACACUGUGCUGGCAACAGAAUAUUGCCUACCACACGGCACACUCGCUAGCUCCUUUGUUGUUUAUUUACAAUCUGCGCUGUCUCCAGGGCUGAGAGCAUAGUUCAGAGCCUGACACCUGAGUUUGAUCCCUGCAACCCACACAAAAAGCGAAUAUGGUGGUUCACAUCUGUAAUCCCAGCACUCCCACAGUGAGAUGGGAGGAAGAGUCAGGAGAAUCAACGAGAAGCUCAUGGUCCAGCUAGCACAGAGUGGCAGAGCGACUGAAACAAGAGAAACCAGCCUCAAACAAGUUUGCCUGUGCCAUAGACCAGAACAGUUCUCGGGCCUCAUCAGAGAAGCUUCUCCGUGCAGAGAUGAACAACUCAUCAAAGAGCAGAGAAUAA